rnacentral:rRNA from 1 species
GAUGAACGCUGGUGGCGUGCCUAAUACAUGCAAGUCGAGCGAAGCGGGGACGGGUGAGUAACAUGUUGAUAACCUCCCUUAAGACUGGGAAAACCUCGGGAAACCGGUGGUAAUCCCGAUACUUAUAGAUGGAUCCCCGCUGCAUUAGCUAGUUGGUAAGGUAACGGCUUACCAAGGCAACGAUGCAUAUCCGACCUGAGAGGGUGAUCGGCCACACUGGAACUGAGAAACGGUCCAGACUCCUACGGGAGGCAGCAGUAGGGAAUCUUCCGCAAUGGGCGAAAGCCUGACGGAGCAACGCCGCGUGAGUGAUGAAGGUCUUCGGAUCGUAAAACUCUGUUAUUAGGGAAGCGGUACCUAAUCAGAAAGCCACGGCUAACUACGUGCCAGCAGCCGCGGUAAUAC